GCUGGUCUAAAGGGGAUGUUUUUAGCUUGCUGGUCUAAAGGGUGUGUUUUUAACUUGCUGGUCUAAAGGGUGUGUAUUAUAAUACAUAUAUAUACAUUAUCACCACAGGUGUUGGUGUAUAGGGCUUAUGCUAUUAUUUAGCUGACUGUGUUAUUUAUCAUAAUGAACUCUUUCAGGUAUGUGAGCUGCACUUUUGGCCAGAAGACAUGGAAUGUGAGACCUCCUUCUUCGACGAGAGGACUUUGACCAAAGUCCAAGCCAAGUUGAAGCAUCCAAGACUGCGACAGGGAGUUGUUCCCUCACAACUUCCCAACUGCCCCGCUUAUCUCUCACUGUCACUAGUAUCUGUGAGGGAAUCACCUGACGAAAGGAGAUCCAGGAUGGAAGAGAUUGCAAUUGAAGAAGCCCUUAAACAGUGUUGUUGACCAUGAAGAACUUAAGGAGCGAAGAAAAUGUUGAGAUUUAGAUGAACUGGUCAAAAAAUUAAAACAUUUAGAUAAGUACUGGAAGAUUAUUGAGAGAGAAGAUUCAGUAGUGGUUUGCCAUGUGACUGCCAACCCUGAGCCCAAAAUUAAAUGUUCAGUAACAAUCAGCGAUUCAAGUAGGGUAAAAGUAUUUUUGAGAGUGUUGAAUUGGAAAGCCUAGGAAAUUACAAAAUCCCUUCAGAAAUUUAUAGCAUUGACUCACUGGAAGAAAUUUUAUGUAACCUUCGGGAAUGUGACUUUGAACAACAUAUGAGUAGCAGUACUUGUCCUACAGACUCUAAAUUCAUAUUUCUCCUACAAUUAGUCAUUUCCAUCUUGACACAACUGCAAGAAACAAGCACUAAGUACAGAGACAAUUUGAAAUUUAUAUGUGAACAGCUCCACCUUAUGACAAAAAAGAGACUAAGUUAUUCCCCUGAGUUCAUAGUUUUCUCAUCUCUUAUGUAUAACUGCUCCCCCCAAGGUUACAGAUUACUCAGAAAUGUUGGCUACUUGAUCCUCCCAUGUUAUUCAACCAUGCGACUACUGUCUCUUUCUCUUAGCAUGAGUCCAGUACCAGAACAACAAAAUUGUCACUUCCUCUCUUACAUAAAAAAGAAGUUUAAAUUUUUUACCCAAAAUGAUAUGACUGUUUCCCUGAUGAUUGAUGAAAUACACAUUAAGCAAUAUUUUGAUUACAAGGGAGGAAAUGAUGUUGGUUCUGCUUUUAAUUGUGAUGAAGCUGCCAAGAGUGCUUUCGUUUUCAUGAUAAGUAGUGUGUGCUCAAACUUUAAAGAUAUUGUUCAUAUUUUGCCAGUUAGAACUUUAAAAGCAGAAAUUCUUUUCACAUUCAUAAAAGACAUUGUAAUUGGCUUGGAAAAAAUUGGAUUCAGAGUGAUAUCUGUGGUGACAAACAAUAACGGCAUUAAUAAGAAGGCCAUGUCAUUCUUUGCUAAUACUCACAACUUUCCAUAGUAUAUCCUCACCCUUCAUUGAAAUCUAGACCUCUCUUUUUUUUUGUUUGAUGCUGUACACUUACUGAAAUGUAUUCGGAAUAACUGGCUUGGCCAAAGAGAUAGUGAAAAAACUAUGAAAUUUCCAUAUUUUCCGAUUGAUGGCUUUAGUCAUACAAAAGAAACUUGUACUGCACCCUUCGACACACUAAAGAAACUUCAUUCUUUGGAAGCCAAUUCACUCCUAAAACAUGCAUAGAAACUUAAUCUUAAGUCGUUGUGUCCCUCCAAUUUAGAAAAACAAAAUGUCACAUUGGCUCUACGAAUAUUCAGCGAUUAUGUCACUGAAGCCCUGAGGUCUGUCAGAAAAAAGUACAGCUUGCCUUCUUUUGAAGAUGUUGCAAAUUACAUCUCAAUAAUCAUCACUUGGUGGACAAUAAUGAAUGUAAAUUCUCCUUGUAAAGGUAAGCGCCUCAACAACAAGUAUGCGCGUCCACUAACAAAUAAUUCAAGUGAUGAAAGUUUUGUGUUUCUUAACAAAUUUUCGAUUUGGUUAAACCACUGGGAUUCCAUGACAGAAAUUGGGGGAAAAUUAACCAGAGAAACUUUUACAGCUUUAAAACACACUACUAAUGCGAUUAUGGAAUUAACCAGUUACUGCAUUAAUGAGUUAAAUAUGAAUUUUAUAUUAACAUCAAAAUUUCAGACAGAUCAGUUAGAAUUUAGGUUUAGCCAAUACUGCCAACUUGCUGGGUGCAACUAUAACAUAUCUGUCAGGCAAAUAUUCGAGUGUGAAAAAAAAAUCCGGAUGAUGUCUGUUUUAAGUUUACCCUUCAAAAAACAAGAACAUAACACUGUCAGAAUUUAAAGAAUUUGUAUGGGACAAUACUGAUGUAAAUUCCAUUUCCGAUGAAGAAAUGUUCCAUAUUGAUGUAACCGAAGAUGAUGUUGAAACAAGUACGGAUGUUCUUUCAGUUUUAACAUAUUUGGCAGGUUACUGUUGUUUUUCUGUUUUUAAAAAAAAUUAAGUGUGCUUCUUGUAAAACUAUUUUAACUAUCAAUAGCUCUACCUACCAAACUAUCAUUAUAUUCAAGGUAUUAGCAGAGGUGCAUUGCUUUAUCCUGAUGAAUAUGUUGUAAAUAUCAUCAUGUACAACUACAUAGUAAUCAAGAAGCUUACAGAAA
rnacentral:lncRNA from 1 species